rnacentral:rRNA from 1 species
ACGUACACUCCUGCGGGAGGCAGCAGUGGGGAAUAUUGGACAAUGGGCGCAAGCCUGAUCCAGCCAUGCCGCGUGAGUGAUGAAGGCCCUAGGGUUGUAAAGCUCUUUCACCGGAGAAGAUAAUGACGGUAUCCGGAGAAGAAGCCCCGGCUAACUUCGUGCCAGCAGCCGCGGUAAUACGAAGGGGGCUAGCGUUGUUCGGAAUUACUGGGCGUAAAGCGCACGUAGGCGGAUCGAUCAGUCAGGGGUGAAAUCCCAGGGCUCAACCCUGGAACUGCCUUUGAUACUGUCGAUCUGGAGUAUGGAAGAGGUGAGUGGAAUUCCGAGUGUAGAGGUGAAAUUCGUAGAUAUUCGGAGGAACACCAGUGGCGAAGGCGGCUCACUGGUCCAUUACUGACGCUGAGGUGCGAAAGCGUGGGGAGCAAACAGGAUUAGAAACCCUGGUAGUCCCAUGAU